rnacentral:lncRNA from 1 species
UUUGGACUUGGCAGCAGCAGGUUUGGGUUUAGCAACAGUAGUUUUGGUUUUGACAGCAGCAGUUUUGGGCUUGGAAGCAGCCUUUGGCUUAACAACAGUUUUAGCCUUUGACUUAGAGGCACUUNGGAAGUUUGAAUGAACCUUUAACCUUAACAAGUUUACCAGAAGCAACAUUCUUCUUCAAAUUCUGAAGCAAUAGCUUCUUGAAAUUUGAAGGAAGUUGUUGUUUGUGUUUCUCUUCAAUGAAUUUCGCAAUUGCGUAUUGGCUUGAACCUGUUCUC